GAUGAACGCUGGCGGCGUGCCUCAAACAUGCAAGUCGAGCGGGGCUAUGUAAUACCGCAAGGUAGAACAUAGCCUAGCGGCGAACGGGUGAGUAACACGUGGGUAACCUGCCUGGAAGACAGGGAUAACGAUUCGAAAGGGUCGCUAAUACCUGAUAAUAUCCUUUCAUCGCAUGGUGAUAGGAAGAAAGGGGAAACCCGCUUUCAGAUGGGCCCGCGUCCCAUCAGCUAGUUGGUAAGGUAAAGGCUUACCAAGGCGACGACGGGUAGCCGGUCUGAGAGGAUGUACGGCCACACUGGGACUGAGAUACGGCCCAGACUCCUACGGGAGGCAGCAGUUGGGAAUCUUAGGCAAUGGACGAAAGUCUGACCUAGCGACGCCGCGUGAGGGAAGAAGGCCUUCGGGUUGUAAACCUCUGUCAUGGGGAAGAAGUAAGUAGACGGUACCCGAACGAGGAAGACCCUCGCUAACUACGUAGUCCAGCAGACCGCGGUAACGUGAGUAGUACA
rnacentral:rRNA from 1 species